CAGGGAAAUGCUGCCUCCUUUGACACCUGUAACAGCAAUGAAGCUGUAUGAAUAUCAUCUAUUAUUUCUAACAUCUGAGCUUUGUCUAGAAUGAUAUUUUAUGUCACUAUGACGGGCAGUGGUCUUGGAAGCAGAAGAUCCUGGUAAUUGAAGCCGUGCAAAACCAUGGAUUUUCCUUUGCUGCAUGUUUAUUGUAUGAACUUCCAGUCCAUCUGCCCACAUAGCCAUCUGCAAAAUCACCAGGGCAUCAGCUGGUAGAAAUGAGGU